GGUGGUGUGGCCAAGUGGUUUAGGGCGCUGGAUUUGAAAUCUGGAGGUCCCUUGUUCAAACAGCUCCACCU